UCAUGGGCGAGAGCCUGAAACCAGCCAAGUAGCGUGAAGGAUGACUGCCCUAUGGGUUGUAAACUUCUUUUAUAAAGGAAUAAAGUCGGGUAUGGAUACCCGUUUGCAUGUACUUUAUGAAUAAGGAUCGGCUAACUCCGUGCCAGCAGCCGCGGUAAUACGGAGGAUCCGAGCGUUAUCCGGAUUUAUUGGGUUUAAAGGGAGCGUAGAUGGAUGUUUAAGUCAGUUGUGAAAGUUUGCGGCUCAACCGUAAAAUUGCAGUUGAUACUGGAUAUCUUGAGUGCAGUUGAGGCAGGCGGAAUUCGUGGUGUAGCGGUGAAAUGCUUAGAUAUCACGAAGAACUCCGAUUGCGAAGGCAGCCUGCUAAGCUGCAACUGACAUUGAGGCUCGAAAGUGUGGGUAUCAAACAGGAUUAGAUACCCUGGUAGUCCAAGGGCGAAUUC
rnacentral:rRNA from 1 species